rnacentral:rRNA from 1 species
AGCGGAGGAAAAGAAACUAACAAGGAUUCCCCUAGUAGCGGCGAGCGAAGCGGGAAGAGCUCAAAUUUAUAAUCUGGCACCUUCGGUGUCCGAGUUGUAAUCUCUAGAAGUGUUUUCCGCGUUGGACCGCACACAAGUCUGUUGGAAUACAGCGGCAUAGUGGUGAGACCCCCGUAUAUGGUGCGGACGCCCAACGCUUUGUGAUACACUUUCGAAGAGUCGAGUUGUUUGGGAAUGCAGCUCAAAUUGGGUGGUAAAUUCCAUCUAAAGCUAAAUAUUGGCGAGAGACCGAUAGCGAACAAGUACCGUGAGGGAAAGAUGAAAAGCACUUUGGAAAGAGAGUUAACAGUACGUGAAAUUGUUGGAAGGGAAACGCUUGAAGUCAGACUUGCUUGCCGAGCAAUCGGUUUGCAGGCCAGCAUCAGUUUUCUGGGGUGGAUAAUGGUAGAGAGAAGGUAGCAGUUUCGGCUGUGUUAUAGCUCUCUACUGGAUACACCUUGGGGGACUGAGGAACGCAGUGUGCCUUACGGCGGAUUUCUCGAGAUCUUCACACUUAGGAUGCUGGUGGAAUGGCUUUAAACGACCCGUCUU